rnacentral:rRNA from 1 species
AUUGAACGCUGGCGGCAGGCCUAACACAUGCAAGUCGAGCGAGCGGCGGGCGGGUGAGUAAUGUGUAGGAGCCUGCUUGAGGGAGAGGGAUAACUGAUGGCGAAGGUAGCUCAUACCGCGUACCGUCAGGCGUGCCCAGAUGGGAUUAGCUAGUGGGUGGGGUAACGGCUCACCCAGGCGACGAUCCCUAGCUGGUCUGAGAGGAUGACCAGCCACACUGGGACUGAGACACGGUCCAGACUCCUACGGGAGGCAGCAGUGGGGAAUAUUGCACAAUGGGCGCAAGCCUGAUGCAGCCAUGCCGCGUGUGUGAAGAAGGCCUUCGGGUUGUAAAGCACUUUCAGCGGGGAGGCGUUACCCGCAGAAGAAGCACCGGCUAACUCCGUGCCAGCAGCCGCGGUAAUAC